rfam:Serendipita vermifera MAFF 305830 unplaced genomic scaffold scaffold_64, whole genome shotgun sequence.
GGCCUUUUAGUUCAGUUGGUAGAACGCACUCUUUGUGUAAAAAGUGAGGUCUGAGUUCGAUUCCUUGAAAGGCUG